UACAGAGGGUGCUAGCGUUGUUCGGAAUCAUUGGGCGUAAAGAGCGCGUAGGCGGUCCGGUAAGUCCGCUCUGAAAGUCCGGGGCUCAACCCCGGGAGGCGGGCGGAUACUGUCGGGCUAGAGUCCGGAAGAGGCGAGUGGAAUUCCUGGUGUAGCGGUGAAAUGCGCAGAUAUCAGGAGGAACACCAAUGGCGAAGGCAGCUCGCUGGGACGGUACUGACGCUGAGGCGCGAAAGCGUGGGGAGCAAACAGG
rnacentral:rRNA from 1 species